rnacentral:rRNA from 1 species
GACGAACGCUGGCGGCGUGCUUAACACAUGCAAGUCGAACGGAAAGGCCCUGCUUGCAGGGUGCUCGAGUGGGGAACGGGUGAGUAACACGUGGGUGAUCUGCCCCUUACUUUGGGUUAAGCCUGGGAAACUGGGUGUAAUACUGGAUAGGUACAUGCUGUAGGCGGUGUGGUGGAAAGAUUAGUUUCGGUAAGGGAUGAGCUCGCGGCCUAUCCGCUUGUUGGUGGGGUAAUGGCGUACCAAGGCGUCGACGGGGAGCCGGCCUGAGAGGGUGGACGGCCACACUGGGAGUGUGAUACGGCCCAGACUCCGACGGGAGGCAGAAGUGGGGAAUAUUGCACAAUGGGCGCAAGCCUGAGGCAGCGAGGCCGCGUGGGGGAUGACGGCCUUCGGGUGGUAAACUCCUUUCAGCCAUGACGAAGCCUUCGGGUGACGGUAGUGGUAGAAGAAGCACCGGCUAACUACGUG